UUACUGAGUUUUUUUCUUGUCUGUCGAGCCAAUCGAAGAUUUGAUGACGUUUAUUUGAGUCUUUCUUCUGCUCAGUCAGCAACAGUGGAUUGAAUGGACCAAUAGCCCAUAGAUUAAAGCCAUUAACUUCUUUGGCUACUAAAUCAAGGUAUAAACCUUCUAUUGCUCUGGAUGAAUUGUAAAGUUCUCCAGAGCAAAUUUUCCCUUCAAUGGGUUGUUGUUUAUUCCACAAUUCCCAUAACUCUGUGGUAGCACAGUCUUCAAUUGAUGGAAUGUCCUCGAAUAUUUCAGUUUCAGCCUCGAAAGGUUUUCCUCUGGCUUCCCAGUUGGAUGAAUGCAUAUAGAAAGCUGAGAUACUAUUAAAACGGUAGCACUCAGCAUUUGGAAUUGUUGGUACAUCCUGUACUACCCAAGUCAUCAGAGAAUCAUAAAUAACAAUCACUCUCCUAUGAUUGGCGCCUAAGAGUUGGCGUACAAGAGAGCACACUGGCUCACGGUGAUGGAUUGUUGCGUAAAGUAGAGGCAUAAAAUGGUUAGGAAAUUUAUGAGAAGCAUUUGGAUUUGGAGGUGCGUUUUCAAAAGGUGGCGUAGGGAAUUCAUGAAAAUGUAGGUUUUUAGUUGCAAGAGGGUCGAAAGAGUGGACAAUGAAACUUAGCCUGGUGAAUAUGAGUGGUUGCUCCAACAUAGUGUACUGGGAUAUCAUACGAGGAGAUGAUCCUCGAGAGGUGGAGUAGCUGAUUGAGAUGGCCUUGUGCUGGAAGUGGCACCAUAACUAAAAUUUAAUGAAUAAUAACUAAAAUUAUAUACUCCCUCUGUUCAUUUUUACUUGUCACAUUUCGUUUCAUAAGAAUUAAAUAUAUAUUUAACUAAUCUUCAAAGCUUAAUUGGGAUAUCAUUGUGAUCUCAGUCGAAGUUACAUCCUCAUCAUCAUCAUUGUAAAAAAACAAAUAUGUUAAUUUCAAGUAUAAGGAUCACUUGACAAGUCUGUGCAUCAAAGCAAUAUCUAUAUUAGUUUUGUGGUCCGUAUAAAAACCGCAAUCUUCAGAUUCUUUCGAUCGUAGGACAAAAUACUAGGAAUAUUAUGCAAGGGAGAAAGCUUUAGUCAGGAGCGGACGCAGAUACUUCAUUAUGUAGUAUUAUGCAUGUUGGACAGUCACAGUACUUUGCUCCAUUAUUUGAACAACACCCGUGCCUCAUCUAGUUGUUCUAACCAAUUAUUUGCUCGUUCUGCAGACUUAACAGAUAUAUUCACUUCAUUACUGAAUCUAAUAAGAUCCUUACCUGCAGUCCUAUUCUCUUUGCUUUUAGAAUCUUUGAGACACCAACUCAGUGGUACAGAGUUAUCUCAACUUAAGACGAGCUUAAUGCCCUAAUGCACAAAGCAUCCGGCAUUGGCAGGGUCCAAGAAAGGGCCGCACCCUAAGAGGUGUGAUGUAGACAGCCUAACCUAAUGCAAGCAUUAGUGGCUGCUUCCACGGCUCGAACUCCUAACCUAUAGGUUACACUGAGACAACUUUGCUGUUGCUCCAAGGUUCCCCUUCAGAAAGAUGAUCUGUGUUCAGCAUUUUACUUAAGAGAUUAGCUAUUGAAUAGACCCUCAGCUCAAGUAAAGCAUCUCAAAGCAGUAUGAAGAAGGAAUAUGGAAAUGAAAGCAGUGACAGCAACGAAAUAUAGGCUAUGGAAAGCAGUACAUAGUGUACAAAGAAAGAACAAUAACAACAGUGAACUAAUGCGAUAAUGGAAGCACAGGAAACACAAAUGAUAAAAACAAUCGACGAACAAGAAACUAUGAAAAUAGUGCUAAUACUGCUGGUAAGAGAGUAAAUACCUAUACCACCACCUAUCCUACCUAACAGAAAAGCGAGAGAACUACCAACUAACGUUCUACUCUAAUUCGCGACCUCCAAACCCUCCUACCACUUAUGCUAACAAGAUGGUAGUGUACAACCAAUUUUUCAAUUCGCAAGAGACAGUUAUCGAGUAAUAUGUGCGAUAAAAGAAUCCAUCUCCGUACUUUUACCUCCCCCAUCCAUGACUGAUUGUUUGACAAUAACACUUAAUUCUGACGCUCUCUUCCUCAUCUCAUCCCCAGCAGGUGAUCCCAUCAAAGUUCUUACAGAAUUUUCAACUAUUUCUGAUGUAACCAGCUCAUCUCGACGUUCCCAAUGCCUCACAAUUAGGCCGAUUUUUAGGAACUUUGUUACCAACUGAGAAUUCCUUGGCUGAUCAGAAUGCAUUGGCCAGGCUGCUAUUGGAACUCCCAUUGAAAUACUUUCCAUGCAUGAGUUCCAUCCGCAAUGACUCAUAAAACCACCUGUGGAAGGAUGUGCCAGUAUUUCCAACUGAGGUGCCCAAUCUCUUACAAUAAUUCCUCUUUCUUUUAUUCUUUCUUCAUAACCUUCAGGCAGCUGAGCUCUCCUUUCUUCACCAGCAAAAAUAUCUCCUUUUUCAGCAUCUCUGAUAACCCAAAUGAACUUUAGCAUACUUUUCUCUAACCCGAUGGCAAGUUCUUCAAUUUCUUCAUUAGACAAGGAAGUAGUUGUUCCAAAAGACACAUAUAUUACCGAAUUCUUUUCUUGUUUAUCAAGCCAGAGCAAGGUUUGAUGGUGCUUAUUUGAGUCUUUGUUCUGCUCAGUCAGCAACAGUGGAUUGAAUGGACCAAUAGCCCAUAGGUUUAAGCCAUUCAUUUCUUGGGCUACUAAAUCAAGGUAUAAACCUUCUAUUGCUCUGGAUGAAUUGAAAAGCUCUCCGGAGCUAACUUUCCUGUGAAGGGAUUCCAUUUUAUUCAAAAAAUCCCAUAACUCUGGGAUAGCACAGUUUUCAAUUGAUGGAAUGUCCUCGAAUAAUUCAGUUCCAGCUUGGAAAGGUUUUCCUCUGGCUUCCCAGAUGGCUGAAAACGUAUGGAUGGCUGAGACACUAUUAAAACGGUAGCACUCGGCAUUUGGAAUUGCUGGUACAUCCUUUACUACCCAAGUCAUCAGAGAAUCAUAAAUAACAAUCACUCUCCUAUGAUUGGCGCCUAAGAGUUGGCGUACAAGAGAGCACAUUGGCUCAUGGAGAUGGAUUGUUGCGUAAAGAAAAGGCAUUAAAUGGCUAGGAAGUUUAUGAGAAGCAUUAUGAUUUGGACGUGGAUUUUCAAAAGGUGGCAUAGGGAAUUCAUGAAAAUGUAGGUUUUUAGCUGUGAGAGGGUCGAAAUCAUGGACACGAAACUUAGCCUGGCGAAUAUGAGUGGUCGCGCCAACAUAGUGUACUGGGAUCUUAUACGAGGUUAUGAGCCUCGAGAGGUGGAGAAGCUGGUUGAGAUGGCCUUGUGCUGGAAGUGGCACCAUAACCACAGCCACUGGUGCAUCAUGAAAACUCAUUUGGCCGUCGCUUUUUGGUGUGUAGUUCUCAUCCAUUGGGAAAUGUUUAAAAAUUUUGCAGUUCUAUGAGAUUCUUUAGCUUCUGAAAUGUGUUGAGUUACAUGUAGCCUAGAUGAAAACAUAGAUGUUCUUAUAAUGCUUGAAUCCAAAGGUAACUAGUAUUUUCUGGUGGGCUGCUAAAAGACGUAAUCAUUAAUGAGGUACACAAAACAUGUGGUGGCUAAUAGGACACCUUAUCAACAAUAAGAACCACAUAUCUAGCAGUCACAAUCAGUUUAUCUUUUCUAUUAUUUUCUUAGUUAUAAAAUUCCUAAGAAGUAUGGAAGGUUAUGUUUUAAGUUGAUUUACUCACCUGUAAGUAUUUAUCCUCCGAGACACAUGUUUUUCCAUUAAACUGUUGUUGGUGUAGAUAAAUAUUUUUCUGUUUAAGUUUUUGUUGCUAUGUGAAACUAUCGCUUGUUUCUGUAAUUAUUUAGCCUUUGAACAGGAAUUUAUUCAUAUUUUCUUUCGGUUUAACUAUCCAGCAACUAUCUGGUACCUAAUGGCACAAUUAAUUCAAAUUCGCCUCCCGUAGAGUCUAUCAUUAAAGGAGGAAAUGUUUUCAAUCAGAAUUUCUCCAUUUUCAGGUAUCAAACAUGAGACCUCUGAUUGGUGAUGGAGAGAUCACAUUCAUUCCACCACUUUUAUCAUAUACUCCAUGAAUUUAAAGGAUAUUCAUUUUACAAUGAUAGUGGUUCGAAGGAGAAUAGUGUCUUUUUCUCCUUUUUGCAACAAUAAACCUCGCCAUGAAAUCCCCAGCAUGUAUGUUUCCCAUUUCCACUAGUUGGCUCAUCUUGAGCUCUAGAUGUUUCACUAUUUGCUCAAUCACUUUCCUUCUUUAUAUCUCCAGUUGCAACGGAGCAAAUUUCUAUGUCAAAUACGAGUAUCAAGAAAGCCUUUUCAUACAGAGAAAGAGGACCUGAGCUCUUCCUUAUUUGUCUAGAUGAGAAAAAGAGUAUUCUAUUAAUCUUGAGAAAAAAUUGUAACGUAUACCUAAAAAGAUUGUCUAUUCCUACCAACAUGAGUAGCCGGGAAAAAUAUCAGAUACAAGGUCAUAGAAUGGAAGACAAGCUCCAACAGACCUGGAAGAACAAUAAUAUGUCAUUCAGGUCAUAAGCAAAAGUUCUUGAAAGAUUACACAAAGAGCUUCCAAUAUUUUAUAUCUUUGUCUACGUGAACUAGUUGCUAGUAAAGGAGGAGCUUCACUUUUAUACUAGAAAAUACAAGGAACUCAAAGGAAAAAGGUUUUUAUCCUUCGACAUACAUGUGUGAUGUGCAUAAAUGGGGGCCAGUAGGGAGGAUACUGAACCCACUCGGAUUCAUUGAUGAAGUAUCAUAGGUUGUACCACUUAAGCUAACUGGAUGGAAGUGUGCAACCAACUGUUCAAUUCAAGUGAGAAAGUUAUCGAGUAAUGUGUGCGAUAAAAGAAUCCAUCUCCACACUGUUCCCUCCCCCAUCCAGGACUGAUUGUUUGACAGCAAUGCUCAGUUCUGCUGCUCUCUUCCUCAUCUCAUCUCCCUCAGGUGAAGCCAUCAAAGUUCUCACGGCAUUUUCAAUUAUUUCUGAUGUAACCAGUUCAUCUCGAUGUGCCCAAUGUCUCACAUUCAGGCCGAUUUUCAGAACCUUUGUUAUCAGCUGAGAAUUCCUUGGUUGAUCUGAAUGCAUUGGCCAGGCUGCUAUAGGAACUCCCAUGGAAAUACUUUCCAUGCACGAAUUCCAUCUGCAAUGACUCACAAAACCGCCUGUGGAAUUAAGUAUGUGCCAAUAUUUCCAGCUGAGGCGCCCAAUCUCUUACAAUAACUCCUCUUCCUUUUAGCCUCACUUCAUAACCUUCAGGCAGCUGAACUCUCCUUUCUUCACCAGCAGAAACAUCUCCUUUGUCAGCAUCUCUGAGAACCCAAAUGAACUUUUGCAUACUUUUCUCCAACCCGAUGGCAAGUUCUUCGAUUUCUUUAUCAGACAAGGAAGAAGUAGUUCCAAAAGACACAUAUAUUACUGAAUUUUUUUCUUGUCUGUCGAGCCAAUCGAAGAUUUGAUGACGUUUCUUUGAGUCUUUCUUCUGCUCAGUCAGCAACAGUGGAUUGAAUGGACCAAUAGCCCAUAGAUUAAAGCCAUUAACUUCUUUGGCUACUAAAUCAAGGUAUAAACCUUCUAUUGCUCUGGAUGAAUUAUAAAGUUCUCCAGAGCAAAUUUUCCCUUCAAUGGGUUGUUGUUUAUUCCACAAUUCCCAAAACUCUGGGGUAGCACAGUCUUCAAUUGAUGGAAUGUCCUCGAAUAUUUCAGUUUCAG
rnacentral:lncRNA from 1 species